rnacentral:rRNA from 1 species
CUACGGGGGGCAGCAGCAAGGAAUAUUGUACAAUGGGGGAAACCCUGAUACAGCAACGCCGCGUGAAGGAAGAAGGCCUUCGGGUUGUAAACUUCUGUUUUAGAGGACGAAUAAAGUGACGGUACUCUUAGAGGAAGCCCCGGCAAACUACGUGCCAGCAGCCGCGGUAACACGUAGGGGGCGAGCGUUGUCCGGAAUCACUGGGCGUAAAGGGCGCGUAGGCGGUUUAUUAAGUUGCAUGUGAAAUCCCAGGGCUCAACUCUGGACCUGCAUGCAAAACUGGUAGACUUGAGUAUGGUAGAGGCGAGUGGAAUUCCUAGUGUAGCGGUGGAAUGCGUAGAUAUUAGGAGGAACACCAGUGGCGAAGGCGACUUGCUGGGCCAAAACUGACGCUGAGGCGCGAAAGCGUGGGGAGCAAACAGGAUUAGAUACCCCAGUAGUC